CCCAACAAGUUUAAUUUAUAUUUUUAAAUUUUAUACGUUUAGGUUGCGGGGAUCUAGAAAAUCUUACCUUUGGAAGCGAAUCUCGGAAUUACAUAAAUUGAUAAUAGAUAUUCAGACUGCUCAUGCUAAGUUGGGCAGUCCAGACGGAAACAGCCGAGAACACUGAUCAAGGUCCCAAAUGAUUGUUAAGUGAAAUUAAGGACGUAGCAAUAUCGUAUACAGCUGUGAAGUGAGCCUGGCAGUCGCUACUUAUAAUGAUCGUACGUAACAACGCAUCAGCAGUAUUAAAAUUUAUUAUUAAAUAAUAAAAUUUAAAUGAUAGUAGCGCCGAAAAUUUAASGGGUCUUAAACAAUCAACCGAUAUCGUGUHGGUUUUAUAAAAUUAAUUUUUUUUUAUAUAAUCUAGGUAGUAGAACAUUCAGUUUAACUGUUAAUUAAAUAGUGUUYCAUUGUUUAUUAGGUUACUGAAGAGAGAAUGCUGACAUGAGUAACGUA
rnacentral:rRNA from 1 species